rnacentral:rRNA from 1 species
UACGGAGGGUGCAAGCGUUAUCCGGAUUCACUGGGUUUAAAGGGUGCGUAGGUGGGCCGGUAAGUCCGUGGUGAAAUCUCUGAGCUUAACUCAGAAACUGCCGUGGAUACUAUCGGUCUUGAAUACCGUGGAGGUGAGCGGAAUAUGUCAUGUAGCGGUGAAAUGCUUAGAUAUGACAUAGAACACCAAUUGCGAAGGCAGCUCACUACACGCCUAUUGACACUGAGGCACGAAAGCGUGGGGAUCAAACAGG